rnacentral:rRNA from 1 species
UAGGGAAUCUUCCGCAAUGGACGCAAGUCUGACGGAGCAACGCCGCGUGAGUGAAGAAGGAUUUCGGUUCGUAAAACUCUGUUGUUAGAGAAGAACAGCGCAUAGAGUAACUGUUAUGCGUGUGACGGUAUCUACCAAAAAACCACCGGCUAACUACGUGCCAGCAGCCGCGGUAAUACGUAGGUGGCAAGCGUUGUCCGGAUUUAUUGGGCGUAAAGCGAGCGCAGGCGGCCAAUUAAGUCUGAUGUGAAAGCCCCCGGCUCAACCGGGGAGGGUCAUUGGAAACUGGUUGACUUGAGUGCAGAAGAGGAGAGUGGAAGUCCAUGUGUAGCGGUGAAAUGCGUAGAUAUAUGGAGGAACACCAGUGGCGAAGGCGACUCUCUGGUCUGUAACUGACGCUGAGGUUCGAAAGCGUGGGUAGCAAACAGG